AGCACCUGAAACAGCAUAAAGCAGACAAACCCCAUUUCCUGCCUGUCGAAGGUAUAAUUGAAAAAAAAAUCCUGGCAUUCUUUCUGUUCUUAUGAAAACCUUCUAUUUUCAGUUCCUAGCCAGGCAUAUGUGAAUUGUGCAGUGACUCAAGAAGAUGCUACAGCACUUUGCCUCAGCAGGCUAAAAGCCUUUUGCAAUGGUUAUGGUCCCAUAGCUCCCAACUCCCAGAUUUUAGCAUGUCCUUCAAGCUGGUGCUUCUUCCCUAGGAAGUGCAGAACUUCAGGUGUCCAGCUGUUUAAAAUCUGUCAGCAAAUAGUGAAACUGACAACUUGGCAAUUGGACUAGGUGAUCGUUGUAGGUCCCUUCCAAAUGAAUUUUGCUGUUAUUCUGCUCUAACUUUUUUUCUAACUUUGCUGUUGAAAAUCUGCCUUUAGAAGUGAAAUUUCAUUGAAUUUCCAAGUGUCAAAUUCUUUGAAGUUCACUUUAUAAAUCACAUUUUGGAAUUCUCAUUUAAGUUUUUUGUUAUUUUACAAGGCUCUGAUUUCUUGCAGCAGCGUUCUUGGAUGGAUAUUCACAGAACAUGGCAACUGCUCAUGCUUUUGUUAGAAAGUUGCAUUUAUUCUCUGUCAGUGACUGCUCGGCUCCUAACAGUGCCUCUCAAAGGUAGAGCAGAGUGUUCUGUGGAUUCAGACUGGGGAUCUUCAGCCCAGCCUAGCAGUGACCUCACCUUUCUGAGCUUCAGGUAUCUUCCAAAACUGAUGCCUUAAACUGUUCAAUGGCAUUCACCACAUGGGUUUGUGAUACCAGCCAGUCAGUUUCCAGCACUGCUUGGUAACUUCCACUGUGGGGCCGCACCUCGUCUUGCCG